GGGUUGUGAGGUUAAGCGACUAAGCGUACACGGUGGAUGCCCUGGCAGUCAGAGGCGAUGAAGGACGUGCUAAUCUGCGAUAAGCGCCGGUAAGGUGAUAUGAACCGUUAUAACCGGCGAUUUCCGAAUGGGGAAACCCAGUGUGACUCGUCACACUAUCAUUAACUGAAUCCAUAGGUUAAUGAGGCGAACCGGGGGAACUGAAACAUCUAAGUACCCCGAGGAAAAGAAAUCAACCGAGAUUCCCCCAGUAGCGGCGAGCGAACGGGGAGGAGCCCAGAGCCUGAAUCAGCAUGUGUGUUAGUGGAAGCGUCUGGAAAGGCGCGCGAUACAGGGUGACAGCCCCGUACACAAAAGCGCAUGUGCUGUGAGCUCGAUGAGUAGGGCGGGACACGUGGUAUCCUGUCUGAAUAUGGGGGGACCAUCCUCCAAGGCUAAAUACUCCUGACUGACCGAUAGUGAACCAGUACCGUGAGGGAAAGGCGAAAAGAACCCCGGCGAGGGGAGUGAAAAAGAACCUGAAACCGUGUACGUACAAGCAGUGGGAGCCCCACCACUAAGCCAGUGGUGAACUCCACAUACGCAUCCUUUGCUGAGGAUACGGUUAACGGAGCGAAAGCGACGUUCAACCGCAAAAGAAGCAGAGGGGGCUUAGUGGUGGGGUGACUGCGUACCUUUUGUAUAAUGGGUCAGCGACUUAUAUUCUGUAGCAAGGUUAACCGUAUAGGGGAGCCGAAGGGAAACCGAGUCUUAACUGGGCGUUAAGUUGCAGGGUAUAGACCCGAAACCCGGUGAUCUAGCCAUGGGCAGGUUGAAGGUUGGGUAACACUAACUGGAGGACCGAACCGACUAAUGUUGAAAAAUUAGCGGAUGACCUGUGGCUGGGGGUGAAAGGCCAAUCAAACCGGGAGAUAGCUGGUUCUCC
rnacentral:rRNA from 1 species